rnacentral:rRNA from 1 species
AGUGAACGCUGGCGGUAGGCCUAACACAUGCAAGUCGAACGGCAGCACAGUAAGAGCUUGCUCUUACGGGUGGCGAGUGGCGGACGGGUGAGGAAUACAUCGGAAUCUACUUUUUCGUGGGGGAUAACGUAGGGAAACUUACGCUAAUACCGCAUACGACCUACGGGUGAAAGCAGGGGAUCUUCGGACCUUGCGCGAUUGAAUGAGCCGAUGUCGGAUUAGCUAGUUGGCGGGGUAAAGGCCCACCAAGGCGACGAUCCGUAGCUGGUCUGAGAGGAUGAUCAGCCACACUGGAACUGAGACACGGUCCAGACUCCUACGGGAGGCAGCAGUGGGGAAUAUUGGACAAUGGGCGCAAGCCUGAGCCAGCCAUACCGCGUGGGUGAAGAAGGCCUUCGGGUUGUAAAGCCCUUUUGUUGGGAAAGAAAAGCAGCAGGUUAAUACCCCGCUGUUCUGACGGUACCCAAAGAAUAAGCACCGGCUAACUGCGU